GCUCCGGUUGCACAGUGGUUAGAGCGUCCGCCUCUGAUGCGGGAGAUCAUGGGGGGGGGGUCGAUUCCCGGUCGAGUCA